CCUACGGGGGACAGCAGUGAGGAAUAUUGGUCAAUGGGAGAGAUCCUGAACCAGCCAAGCCGCGUGAGGGAAGACGGCCCUAUGGGUUGUAAACCUCUUUUGUCGGAGAACAAAACCCGGGACGUGUCCCGGACUGCGUGUAUCCGAAGAAAAAGCAUCGGCUAACUCCGUGCCAGCAGCCGCGGUAAUACGGAGGAUGCGAGCGUUAUCCGGAUUUAUUGGGUUUAAGGGGUGCGUAGGCGGUCCGUUAAGUCAGCGAUAAAAUUGCGGGGCUCAACCCCGUCGAGCCGUGGAAACUGGCAGACUGGAGUGGGCGAGAAGUACGCGGAAUGCGCGGUGUAGCGGUGAAAUGCAUAGAUAUCGCGCAGAACUCCGAUUGCGAAGGCAGCGUACCGGCGCCAGACUGACGCUGAGGCACGAAAGCGUGGGGAUCGAACAGGAUUAGAUACCCCUGUAGUC
rnacentral:rRNA from 1 species